ACGAACGCUGGCGGCGUGCUUAACACAUGCAAGUCGAACGGAAAGGCCCUGCUUUUGUGGGGUGCUCGAGUGGCGAACGGGUGAGUAACACGUGAGUAACCUGCCCUUGACUUUGGGAUAACUUCAGGAAACUGGGGCUAAUACCGGAUAGGAGCUCCUGCUGCAUGGUGGGGGUUGGAAAGUUUCGGCGGUUGGGGAUGGACUCGCGGCUUAUCGGCUUGUUGGUGGGGUAGUGGCUUACCAAGGCUUUGACGGGUAGCCGGCCUGAGAGGGUGACCGGCCACAUUGGGACUGAGAUACGGCCCAGACUCCAACGGGAGGCAGCAGUGGGGAAUAUUGCACAAUGGGCGGAAGCCUGAUGCAGCAACGCCGCGUGCGGGAUGACGGCCUUCGGGUUGUAAACCGCUUUCGCCUGUGACGAAGCGUGAGUGACGGUAAUGGGUAAAGAAGCACCGGCUAACUACGUG
rnacentral:rRNA from 1 species